GCUAUUUUAGCUCUGUUGGUAGAGCAUUAGACUCCUAAUUCAAGGAUUGUGGGUUUGAUAUCCACACAUGCCAGCC